GGCUCCUCGGAAAUCUUCGGCACUUUCCGGACAUCCGCUCGUUCUUGCCGAUCCUCCCUGUCGUCGUACGCCUCGUCCUCCUCUCGGUGUUGUUGUUCUCGGUGACGCGACGGAGGUGUAGCCUGACGCGGUCUCUUACGUGUCGGUCUGAAUAAAAGUGGAGCUCCGUAGACCCGGGAGUGACGAAGCGAGUCUGUGUUGAUUUUAAAUGACAAUGGAAGCUUGUGCAGAUACACAGCAAAGUGGUGAACCGGUUACGAAGCAGGAGCCUGAGAUUGCCCUGGCCCAGGCCUCCAUAGCAACAGGCCAGGUGACAUCCAGCAGUCCCACAGUGGCCUUGGUGCAGUUGCCGAACGGCCAAACCGUCCAAGUUCACGGGGUGAUUCAAGCGGCCCAGCCUUCAGUCAUCCAGCCCCCUCAGGUCCAAGCAGUUCAGAUUUCAACGGUUGGUGAGAGUGAAGAUUCUCAGGAGUCUGUUGACAGCGUCACAGAUUCUCAGAAGAGGAGAGAGAUUCUGUCCAGACGACCUUCAUAUAGGAAAAUCCUAAACGAUCUAUCAUCAGACGCUCCAGCUGUUGCAUGCAUUGAGGAAGAAAAGUCUGAAGACGACUCAGCCCCGGCCAUCACCACAGUCACCAUGCCUACGCCCAUCUAUCAAACCAGCAGUGGCCAGUACAUUGCCAUCACCCAGGGAGGAGCCAUUCAAUUGGCCAAUAAUGGGACAGAUGGUGUUCAGGGCCUGCAAACGCUGACAAUGGCCAAUGCUGCCACUGCUCAACCUGGCGCCACGAUCCUGCAAUAUGCCCAGACCAGUGAUGGGCAGCAGAUCCUCUUGCCCAGCAACCAGGUGGUUGUACAAGCCGCCUCUGGAGAUGUUCAGGCAUAUCAGAUCCGCACAGCACCAACCAGCACUAUCAUGGCGACCUCACCUGCAUUGGGUACAGGAACGGGAACGGAAGAAGUCACACGUAAAAGGGAGGUGCGACUUAUGAAAAACAGGGAGGCUGCUCGUGAGUGUCGCAGGAAGAAGAAGGAGUACGUCAAAUGUUUGGAGAACCGUGUAGCGGUGCUUGAGAACCAGAACAAAACCCUUAUUGAGGAACUUAAAGCCCUCAAAGACUUGUACUGCCACAAAUCUGAGUAGGCGCACCAUUAAAUCGCCCUCCACGGGCCCGCCCAUGUACAGAGACUCCGCUAAGAGCCAUGCAUAUGGAUGCCACCCUACCUUUUCUACUUAUUCUGCUUUCUAAAAAAAAAAAAAAAACAGGAAAUUUAUUAUGUGGCCCAGUUGGCAAAAUAUAUUGUCAGUUAAAAAUUAGAAUUCUGUUCUGAUGACAUACUAAGCGGAAUGGUCCUCAGAGGACGCUUAUUAAUGGAAUGACCAAAGGGAUUCUGGCACAGAUUUUUGAACUGGAGGUGUCAUGCAAGAAGUCAUUGGCACUAAUGAUUGAGCGAUUCGCCCUCCGUGGUGGUGCCCAGAUCACUUGGGGCGCCAGCGUCAUUCAAAGUGCGCAAAAUCUGAGUUGCUUUACAAAAGUUUGACGGUGUACACGACUUUUCCUUCAUCAGUUUUUAUCUUUGAGCGGAGUUUCUGCUCAAAUUGCCAUUACCCUGUUUGUUAGCUUACUUUACCUUGCUACAUGAACAAAAAUGCCUACCAUUUGGGUUUUCAUGUUUAACGCAGCAGAAAAGACAAGCAAUCGUUGGCUUUUUUUUUUUUAAAGUGACAUUUCAUGUCCAACCUGAAUACAGCAGGGUCAUUAUUUUUUGUUUUGUAUUUUUACUCAACUGCAUCAUUUUUUAAGAGUUCCACGCAUCUGUGUUUGCAAUAAACAAGGUCUGUUAGACCAUAAAUAGUAAAAGAUGGGGAAAAUGCGGAGAAAAAAUUGACAGUGUGUGUGAUACAAGUAGUGUGAAAUGUUUUUUUGUAAUGUGGCUUUGAUUCUAAUCAUUGCUUGAUGUCAUUAUUUUUUUAAAAUAAAAAACAAAAAUAAUGAGCCCUGCCUACAGCUUAUGCAAUAGAUACACCAUCACAGAUAGUCUGUGAUGAUGUAUUGUUACAGUUAUUGAGAUGAAGUUGUAUACAGUAUGCACUUUUCCUUGCUAAAACAAUCCAGAUAUAUGAAGUUUGACAGAAAAGUUCCACACAAAGCCUAGUCUGGUGCAUUGAGAGGUUCUGCCGGCACUUUUCUGAAGAGGAUAAAGGAAAUGCUUCAAGAUCUCUUUUGAGAUGUAUUUGUUGAACCUGUGUUAAAAAGGGAAAGUCGAAUCCUUCUGAUGGGUAGCGGUCAAGGUUCUCACCCCAAGACAGCUCAGACACCACAACUGACUUCUGGAGGUUGUCAGGUAGGUUGGCUUUAACAUUGGCAGAAAGGAAAUCCAUAGCAGAAUUCCUGUCAGUGAUGGUCAUUUUGGCACCUGGGAAGCCAACAAAGUCAUGUUCACCGGUGGUUCAGUGUAUUAAAUGCAAACGUCCAGUAACAGAUCAGUGCUUUUACCCAGCAGGGCUGCAACGAUGCCCACUAGUCCUGUGCCAGCUCCCAGCUCAAUGGACACCUUAUCCUUCAGCUCGACCUGACCCAACUCCAAAUAAAUGCACAUAACAACAGCCUAAAAAAAAUAUCAUUAUCAUUAACCCAAGCACAUUGUUGAGGAGCAAUGACGUGUUGCGCAAUCGUUGAGGUUACUAACCGCGUCCCACACGACCGCUGCUACUCCAAGCUUCCUCCAAUCCUGAGUUAUUCGGAUGUCAUGGCUGGCAAAAUGAAAACUUGCUGAAGAAUUUUGAAGUUUAGAAAGCGCAGGUACCACAGCCUCCACAUAUGGUACGAGAGCCAUUAUGCAUGUAUUAACAUGCUCUAAUCAAUUCAAUUUUUGUUUUUUCCGGCUACAUUUCACACUUCCGCUAAAGUAAAAGCUCUGCACUUGAUGUGUUGCUGCCCUCUUUUGUUGAAUAUUAGCACUACAGUUUCCGCCCCUAAUCAAGUUUUCUCAUUUUAUCGACGUCCCUUAUAAUGAAAACAAUUCACUUAAUAAUGGUAGGGUCAAUUCUACCCUUGCAGCAUUUGGGAAGACAAAUUUACACCAAAUUACAUGUAUAACUGAACUAAUUAUUAUAUGCAAAUAGGUUUGCUUAAAAGUUGGUGGGGACAAUUUGAGCAUCCUGAAAAAUUGUUAUGGUGGGGACAAUUUGAGUAUCCUGAACAAUUGGUAGUGUUAUGUCCCUACCGUC